UAGUUGGAUAAAGAACACAUCGAGUGUCCCCUAGAGUUCCCUUGACCACUUCACUGGGGACCUUCUCUAAUUAUAAUGACUUCCUACUGAAGUGUUUGGGGGAACUCCUGGUGCUAUUUGAUAGAUACCGACUAUCCAUCACACGUUAGUUACAUCAAUGGAGGAAAAGACAUGCUACAAGCUACGUUUUUAGUGCGCCUUGCUUCCAGAUGCUUUCCAGAUGGCUGAAUAACAGCAGAAAAGGUAUGCAAAAUAAGUAUUCAUCACAAGUUGGAUUCACAGGAUUGCAAUAGUUAUUGAUAUGAAUUCUCUGGAAAAAAAAAGUGUAUGAAAAAAUGAGACCCACCACAUAUUAGAAAUCAUGAGCAAACUUGCAUUUCAUCAACUUUGAGACUCAGUCCAAGUUAAUAAAAACUGCAAAAACCUGUUUUUCAAUGCUAAUUGAUCUGAAACAACUAAAUUUUUUGUUAGAAAUCACAACAUGGAUUGAAGCACAAUUUUCAGUCAAAGAGCAGGAGAUUGAUAAGCAGUAGAGGUCAUAAUCAUUUCUUGAAGAAUAUUCAAGACUUGGUGUUCACUUACACCAUCUAUGUUACAUUCAUAAAUACCAUCUCCAUUAUAUUUUGACUGGGUGAUUGAAAAUCUUGUUUAAGAAUACCACCAUAUCCUAUGUUAAAAGCAUCUGAUUCUAUAAUAGGAAAGGCAUCAGGAUUAAGAAUUUCUAAGCAAGGAAGACUCGUAACCUGCUUUUUGAGUAGGAAGAAAGAUGUGGUGACAAACACUCUUCUAUGAUAGUUGAGUGCAUCACAAGCAUUAUUUAUUCCACUUGGAUUCAUGAAGAGCCUUUUUUUCUGAAAAGCAUAAAAUUGAUUGCUUUUACAUUCCUCAUUUAUCUUCAGCUUUUACAGUUUCUCCCGAAUCGUCUCUAUGUUAAAAGCCAAUAAUAUUUCCAACAUGGCUGAUGGAAGGUUAAAGCAAGAGUAUUUAGACUCCAUGGGAACUGCUCUUCUAAUCAAUGGAUUGCAGCUGUGUAAAGAAUUCAUGGAAAAUCAGAGGCAACAGCAACAAAAGGCCACUCAAACAUAAUAAAAGUAUAAAGCAAAGAUCAACUCCAGCUGGUUGGAGAUUGGAGAUUAGCUGUUCUAAGGUCCUAAAGUGGCAGAAGUAGAAACGAGGUAAAACCAGAUCAUUUUACCUUAGGGUUAUUCACAAAAACAAGGGAUAGAUUCACAUGAUGUACUACAAAGAGUGAGAGGGUGGUAUCUGUGUCUAGGCUGUGUACCGCCUGAAAGCAUUGAUGAAUUUAUGAAACUUGGUUUGACAGUGGGACAAAUCCUUCUGGUUCACCACCUCAGCAAACAUACAUCCCACAGACCUCAAACCAGAAAGAAUGUAUUGUUGUUUGGGAGUGAAACAAGAUUUCUGAGAACCAAGACAGCAAAUACUGUAACUUGUGAGUUGGAUUCAGAAUGAAAUACAUAAGAUUUUUUGUCUAAA